rnacentral:rRNA from 1 species
UACGGAGGGUGCAAGCGUUAUCCGGAUUCACUGGGUUUAAAGGGUGCGUAGGUGGGGAGGUAAGUCAGCGGUGAAAUCCCCGAGCUUAACUUGGGGAACUGCCAUUGAUACUAUCUCUCUUGAAUACCUUGGAGGUGAGCGGAAUAUGUCAUGUAGCGGUGAAAUGCUUAGAGUAUGACAUAGAACACCAAUUGCGAAGGCAGCUCACUACACGGUCAUUGACACUGAGGCACGAAAGCGUGGGGAUCAAACAGG